GCUUUCCUGUGGCUCAGUCAGUAGAGCAAGAGGCGCGCAACACUCGAGAUUGUGGGCUCGAACCCCAGGGGAAGCC